rnacentral:rRNA from 1 species
UAGGGAAUCUUCCGCAAUGGGCGAAAGCUUGACGGAGCAACGCCGCGUGAGUGAUGAAGGUCUUCGGAUCGUAAAACUCUGUUAUUAGGGAAGAACAAAUGUGUAAGUAACUAUGCACGUCUUGACGGUACCUAAUCAGAAAGCCACGGCUAACUACGUGCCAGCAGCCGCGGUAAUACGUAGGUGGCAAGCGUUAUCCGGAAUUAUUGGGCGUAAAGCGCGCGUAGGCGGUUUUUUAAGACUGAUGUGAAAGCCCACGGCUCAACCGUGGACGGUCAUUAGAAUCUGAAAAACUUGAGUGCAGAAGAGAAAAGUGGAAUUCCAUAUGUAGCGGUGAAAUGCGCAGAGAUAUGGGGGAACACCAGUGGCGAAGGCGACUGUCUGGUCUAUAACUGAAGCUGAUGUGCGAAAGCGUGGGGAUCAAACAGG